rnacentral:rRNA from 1 species
ACUCAAAUGAAUUGACGGGGGCCCGCACAAGCGGUGGAUGAUGUGGAUUAAUUCGAUGCAACGCGAAAAACCUUACCUACUCUUGACAUCCCAGGAGCCUCGCAGAGAUGUGAGGGUGCCCGAAAGGGAACCUGGAGACAGGUGCUGCAUGGCUGUCGUCAGCUCGUGUCGUGAGAUGUUGGGUUAAGUCCCGCAACGAGCGCAACCCUUGCCACUAGUUGCUACAUUCAGUUGGGCACUUUAGUGGGACUGCCGGUGACAAACCGGAGGAAGGUGGGGAUGACGUCAAGUCAUCAUGGCCCUGAUGGGUAGGGCUUCACACGUCAUACAAUGGCGCGUACAGAGGGCAGCCAACCCGCGAGGGGGAGCUAAUCUCAGAAAGCGCGUCGUAGUCCGGAUUGCAGUCUGCAACUCGACUGCAUGAAGUCGGAAUCGCUAGUAAUCGCGGAUCAGCAUGUCGCGGUGAAUACGUUCCCGGGCCUUGCACACACCGCCCGU